rnacentral:lncRNA from 13 species
CGGGUGGCUACUACUGGCUAUAUGUCUAAAGAUAAGCGGCUAUAACAUUGCUUUGCCUUCAAUAUUAUGGGAUGAAGAUGUAUUCUGGUGAAGUUAUUACCAUAUUUGUGAGGAAUAACAGGGCUACCCGUCUGGCAACGAGCCCAGGGCAGGCAGAACAUGCUUUUACAUCCGAUCCUGCUAGUGCUACAAGUAGGUCUUAUGAUUCUGUUUGCUCUGGACUCCAGAGAAGUGACAUGAUAUAUCCCUAGUUGAUAUUGGCUGACUUUCAGCUCCAAAUGCAGGUGUAAAACGCAGAUUAUUUCUGUCGCCUGUUUUGCGAUUCGAAAAUGCAUCACUGUUUAUGCCUGUAAUGACAGGCUACAUUUGCUCAGUGAUUGUGUGCUGCAUGUAUGCAAGUGCACACGUGCAUGUGCGUGCGCAAGGGUCCGAGAUUUGUAGGCUACCCCUCCUUUUUGGGGGUGGUGUGACAAAAGAAAAUUGAAAAACACUGCGAGGAAGUACCAGUGACUUGCUCAAUAUGGAAGUGGUCAGAUGCUAAACUACAGGACUGUUUUGCUGGCGCAGACUGGAAUAUGUUCCAGGAUUCAUCCAAUGGAAAUGAGGAAUACACCAUCUCAGUCAUCGGCUUCAUCAAGUGUAUGUACAUAUCCCAACCAGAAGCCAUGGAUUACAGGCAACAUCCGCAUUGAGCUAAAGAUUAGAGCUGCCGCUUUCAAGGAACGGGAGACUAAUCCGGAAGCUUAUAAGAAAUCCCAAUAUGCCCUCAGACGAACCAUCAAACAAGCAAAGCGUCAAUACAGGAUUAAGAUUGAAUCUUACUACACCGGCUCUGAUGCUCGUCAGAUGUGGCAGGGCUUGAAAACUAUUACGGACUACAAAGGGAAACCCAAACGCGAGCUGCCCAGUGACGCAAUCCUACCAGACGAGCUAAAUGCCUUUUAUGCUCGCUUCGAGGCAAGCAACACUGAAGCAUGCACGAGAGCACCAGCUGUUCUGGAUGGCUGUGUGAUAACGCUCUCUGUAGCCGAUGUGAACAAACCCUUUAUUAAACAGGUCAACCUUCACAAAGCCGCUGGGCCAGAUGGAUUACCAGGACGUGUACUCAAAGCAUGCGCAGACCAACUGUCAAGUGUCUUCACUGACAUUUUUCUUUCCCUGACCGAGUCUGUAAUACCCACAUGUUGCAAGCAGACCACCAUAGUCCCUGUGCCCAAGGAAGCGAAGGUAACCUGCCUAAAUGAUUAUCACCCCGUGGCACUCAAGUCGGUAGCCAUGAAGUGCUUUGAAAGGCUGGUCAUGGCUCACAUCAACAGCAUCCUCCCGGACACCUUAGACCCACUCCAAUUCGCAUACUGCCCCAUCAAAUCCACUGAUGACGCAAUCUCAAUCGCACUCCACACUUCCCUUUCUCACCAGGACAAAAGGAACACGUAUGUGAGAAUGCUGUUCUUCGACUACAGCUCAGCGUUCAACACUAUAGUGCCCAAGAAGCUCAGCACUAAGCUAAGGACUCUGGGACUAAACACCUCCCUCUGCAACUAUAUCCUGGACUUCCUGAUGGGCCGCCCCCAGGUGGUAAGAGUAGGAAACAACACGUCUGCCACGCUGAUCCUUAACACUGGGGCCCCUCAGACGUGUGUACUUAGUCCCCUCCUGUAUUCCC